rnacentral:rRNA from 1 species
GCAAGUCGAGGGGCACAUAAAUUACUUGUAAUUUGAUGGCGACCGGCGAACGGGUGCGUAACGCGUAUGCAACUUACCUUUUACUAGAGAAUAGCCAAGAGAAAUUUUGAUUAAUGCUCUAUACACUUACUAACUUUCAUGAGUUUGUAAGAAAAGCUCCGGCGGUAAAAGAUGGGCAUGCGUCCUAUUAGCUUGUAGGUGAGGUAACGGCUCACCUAAGCUCCGAUAGGUAGGGGUCCUGAGAGGGAGACCCCCCACACUGGUACUGAGACACGGACCAGACUUCUACGGAAGGCAGCAGUAAGGAAUAUUGGACAAUGGAGGAAACUCUGAUCCAGCCAUGCCGCGUGAAGGAUGACGGCCUUAUGGGUUGUAAACUUCUUUUAUACAGGAAUAAACCUAUCCACGUGUGGAUAGCUGAAGGUACUGUAAGAAUAAGGAUCGGCUAACUCCGUGCCAGCAGCCGCGGUAAUACGGAGGAUCCAAGCGUUAUCCGGAAUUAUUGGGUUUAAAGGGUCCGCAGGCUGUUUGUUAAGUCAGAGGUGAAAUCCUACCGCUCAACGGUAGAACUGCCUUUGAUACUGGCAAACUUGAGUUAUUGUGAAGUAGUUAGAAUGUGUAGUGUAGCGGUGAAAUGCAUAGAUAUUACACAGAAUACCGAUUGCGAAAGCAGAUUACUAACAAUUAACUGACGCUGAGGGACGAAAGCGUGGGUAGCGAGCAGGAUUAGAUACCCUGGUAGUCCACGCCGUAAACGAUGGUCACUAGCUGUUCGAUGUACAUUGGUACAUUGAGUGGC